rnacentral:rRNA from 1 species
AUUGAACGCUGGCGGCAGGCCUAACACAUGCAAGUCGAACGAGUGGCGGACGGGUGAGUAAUGUCUGGGAAACUGCCUGAUGGAGGGGGAUAACUACUGGAAACGGUAGCUAAUACCGCAUACCAUCGGAUGUGCCCAGAUGGGAUGGGCUAGUAGGUGGGGUAACGGCUCACCUAGGCGACGAUCCCUAGCUGGUAUGAGAGGAUGACCGGCCACACUGGAACUGAGACAGGGCCCAGAUUCCUAGGGGGGGCAGAAGUGGGGAAUAUUGCACAAUGGGGGCAAGCCUGAUGCAGCCAUGCCGCGUGUAUGAAGAAGGCCUUCGGGUUGUAAAGUACGUUCAGCGGGGAGGCGUUACCCGCAGAAGAAGCACCGGCUAACUCCGUGCCAGCAGCCGCGGUAAUUC